CACUCUAGAGAGACUGCCAGGGAUAACCUGGAGGAAGGUGGGGAUGACGUCAAAUCAUCAUGCCCCUUAUGCUUAGGGCUACACACGUGCUACAAUGGGUAGUACAGAGGGUUGCCAAGCCGUAAGGCGGAGCUAAUCCCUUAAAGCUACUCUCAGUUCGGAUUGUAGGCUGAAACUCGCCUACAUGAAGCUGGAGUUACUAGUAAUCGCAGAUCAGAAUGCUGCGGUGAAUGCGUUCCCGGGUCUUGUACCCACCGCCCGUCACACCACGGGAGUUGGAGACGCCCGAAGCCGAUUAUCUAACCUUUUGGAAGAAGUCGUCGAAGGUGGAAUCAAUAACUGGGGUGAAGUCGUAACAAGGUAGCCGUAUCGGAAGGUGCGGCUGGAUCACCUCCUUUCUAAGGAGA
rnacentral:rRNA from 1 species